CUCCUCCACCGGUCUGUCUCUUCCAACAUGUUCAUCAAUUUCAUCUUGGGCAGUUUUUAAUGUGUUUGGGUUUGGGAUUGCUUUUUUAAGCUGAUUUUUUGAUUAUUGUGUUUUGAAAUCGUAAAAAAUCUAUUUUAAGUGUUUGGUAAAAAAAUAUUAAAAAGUGAUUUUUUGCGUUUUGUAGACAUCAAAACGUGAUAAUCCAAAAGUAGGUCACCACCUACUGCAGGAAAACGGGAUUUUCCAUCUUAUUUUAUCUCCUCAUAACUACCUCCAAAAUUUACCGCCAUAUACACUGUGGUGCCCUUGAACUCCCGGAGAAGAAGAACGAAUUACGAAAUACACCGGUAUCUCUUUCCCAUCGCCCCAACCAAACACAAGGUGAACCGUAGGCAGUGGCGGAGCUACCUUAUGCCGGGGGGCAACACCCGCUACGGCUUGGGGCGGAAAAAUUUGGAAAAAUUAGUGUAAAUUUCGGAAAAAUUUGAGGUUUUUUCAAUUUCGUUACGGCUUAUUUAUAAAACGUUACGGCUUGGCGGAUUUUCUAGAUCCGCCGCUGACCGUAGGUGCGGUUAUGUGUGUGUGCAAACUGUAUGAAAGAAUGUAUAUGCAAACCAAGUAUAAUGUUACGCGAAUCGAGUACGAAUGGUCUCAUUGAGACCGAUGGUAUGUAUGCUUAGUCAGCGAACCGUGUGUAUCCGUGUAUAUGUAUGCCAAUACGUAGUAUCAUAGCCGUAGGUGCAACUGUAUGUAUGUGUGAAACUGAGUUAUGUGCAGCCGUGUGAAUGAUAAAUAUAUAUGUGCGUAGCCGCAUGUACGUAAAUAUAAGUA